rnacentral:rRNA from 1 species
UACGGAGGGGGCGAGCGUUAUCCGGAUUCACUGGGUGUAAAGGGAGCGUAGACGGCCAUGCAAGCCAGGGGUGAAAGCCCGGGGCUCAACUCCGGGACUGCUUUUGAAACUGUGUAACUGGAGUACAGGAGGGGCAGGCGGAAUUCCUGGUGUAGCGGUGAAAUGCGUAGAUAUCAGGAGGAACACCGGCGGCGAAGGCGGCCUGCUGGACUGAAACUGACGUUGAGGCUCGAAAGCGUGGGGAGCAAACAGG